rnacentral:rRNA from 1 species
CCAGGUCCUAUGUGGAUACCCGCAUGUACAAACCGGGUAGCCGGACGAAGACGGGGAGAGGAAUAGGAGCGGCACCCCAACGCGGCCGGUGGAGAGCAGACGAGUACCGCGGCGGUGUGGGUUGGAGGCGAGGUUGCGACGCGGACACUCCGCUGCCGACCUCGCGAACAGGAGAAGGUGAUGCCGCCGGUUUCACGGUUUGGUGGGCCUAGGCCACAGUAGAAGGUGAGGCCGCCGGUCUAGUCAAGCUCAAACCCGUUGUGCUCUAGAAGGCUCCUGCGCCAGGAGCAGGUGCCUAGACCGGCACUCUUUAGUAAAAGAAGUAACAAAGGCAGCCACUCCGGCCUAGUGCUGGACAUUAACACGAAAAGAGGAUCAACAAGUAAACAAGGUCUAAACGUACAAAAACCAAUAAAAAACUAAAACAAGGAAAAUAAGGAAACCAUUACGACUAGACCGACCAAAGCGGCCCCACGUGCACACGUAGUUUCGAUGGCCGCCGUCAAGCAAAACCAACUCUCCCGCACGAAAGGUUCACUUAUUAGACUUGAUAUCGCGGAGAAUGAUUAAAAGGAGAAUCGAUAAACCCAAUCAGAGACUGGUAUCGAGUCAGAUCACUUAUAAAAAAACCAGGAUCUAAGACUUUAGGACUACUUGAUACACGGUGACUUAAAUCCUAUUUAAUCUCAAGUCUAGUCUGUGUGUGUAAUACUAAAUCUCAAGUACGACAAACCCAACUAAACCUAAACAUUUGUCUCAACGAGAUCAACAAACCGAGGUCCAAUCGUCUCUCGACUACGUACACUGUUCUCCCUAAUGAAUAUUACCCGAACCUAAAGCAGCUACCAACACAACAUGUAAGGACCUAAAAAAAAAUGACAAAAAUACCCGUUAAAUAACAUAACCAGCCAACUUGACAACAAACUAAAGGAGAUGUGAACAUCGUUCGUCGAAAAAAUCUAGUUCCUUCAUCGUUCGUCGAACCAAGACCAAUACUUAUUAGAAACCAUGUUUUUGACUAUACACCACACGAAGAUCAAUUUCUUUUUUUACCAAAUCACAAAAACCACAACAGAAACACAACCAAACUGUGUGGUCCUUCGUUCUAACAAAACAAGACAAAGUCGAAUAAAUCGACGUUCGAUUACCAAAUCCACGAAUGCAUAGAGUAACUGAAAUUAACAAACCGUAACACUAACGACGUAAUAAACAGCCAAUUGUCUACGACAAUAACUAUCGAUCGAACCAAUACAUGUUCAACACGACGACGUCGAGUACGGGGACCGUUGGUUCCUAGAACGACGCACUUCUCGAAAAGGGACAAGCACAACAACGUCGUGAACACAUGUUCACGAUGAAGUACAUCGGAGUUUAGCACAUUGAGAUAAAAAUAGUCCUACACUACGGCUACACUUGGUACAUGUGGAUAGAUAGAAGACUAACGUAAUCUCCUCUAUUCAACUAACAGAUUACAUUCCACACGGCGUACAAACCAGGAUUGCUCAAAAUUUUCUUUACAAAUGUAACAUUUGUCAAAGUAAUACGAGUUUUAACCGAUCACUCUCGUAAAAUAAGUAAACGGUUGACGCUG